UACGAAGGGGGCUAGCGUUGUUCGGAAUCACUGGGCGUAAAGCGCGUGUAGGCGGUUGCCCAAGUCGGGUGUGAAAGCCUUGAGCUCAACUCAAGAAAUGCACUCGGUACUGGGUGACUAGAGGACCGGAGAGGAUAGUGGAAUUCCCAGUGUAGUGGUGAAAUACGUAGAGAUUGGGAAGAACACCAGUGGCGAAGGCGGCUAUCUGGACGGUUUCUGACGCUAAGACGCGAAAGCGUGGGGAGCAAACAGG
rnacentral:rRNA from 1 species